rnacentral:rRNA from 1 species
GAGGAAAGAGGGAGGAGGGAAGAAGAAAGGAAAGUAGAGAGAACAGAUGAGGAGCUUGCUCCUCUGACGUUAGCGGCGGACGGGUGAGUAACACGUGGAUAACCUACCUAUAAGACUGGGAUAACUUCGGGAAACCGGAGCUACUACCGGAUAAUAUAUUGAACCGCAUGGUUCAAUAGUGAAAGACGGUUUUGCUGUCACUUAUAGAUGGAUCCGCGCCGCAUUAGCUAGUUGGUAAGGUAACGGCUUACCAAGGCAACGAUGCGUAGCCGACCUGAGAGGGUGAUGGGCCACACUGGAACUGAGACACGGUCCAGACUCCUACGGGAGGCAGCAGUAGGGAAUCUUCCGCAAUGGGCGAAAGCCUGACGGAGCAACGCCGCGUGAGUGAUGAAGGUCUUCGGAUCGUAAAACUCUGUUAUUAGGGAAGAACAAAUGUGUAAGUAACUAUGCACGUCUUGAGGGUACCUAAUCAGAAAGCCACGGCUAACUACGUA